rnacentral:rRNA from 1 species
UGGGGGAAUUUUGGACAAUGGGCGAAAGCCUGAUCCAGCAAUGCCGCGUGUGUGAAGAAGGCCUUCGGGUUGUAAAGCACUUUUGUCCGGAAAGAAAUGGCUCUGGUUAAUACCUGGGGUCGAUGACGGUACCGGAAGAAUAAGGACCGGCUAACUACGUGCCAGCAGCCGCGGUAAUACGUAGGGUCCAAGCGUUAAUCGGAAUUACUGGGCGUAAAGCGUGCGCAGGCGGUUGUGCAAGACCGAUGUGAAAUCCCCGAGCUUAAUCUUGGGAAUUGCAUUGGUGACUGCACGGCUAGAGUGUGUCAGAGGGGGGUUAGAAUUCCACGUGGUAGCCAGUGAAAUGCGUAGAGAUGUGGAGGAAUACCGAUGGCGAAGGCAGCCCCCUGGGAUAACACUGACGCUCAUGCACGAAAGCGUGGGGAGCAAACAGGAUUAGAUACCCCUGGUAGUCCACGCCCUAAACGAUGUCAACUAGUUGUUGGGGGAUUCAUUUCCUUAGUAACGUAGCUAACGCGUGAAGUUGACCGCCUGGGGGAGUACGGUCGC